GAUGAAGAACGUAGCGAAAUGCGAUACGUAAUGUGAAUUGCAGAAUUCAGUGAAUCAUCGAGUCUUUGAACGCACAUUGCGCCCCCUGGUAUUCCGGGGGGCAUGCCUGUCCGAGCGUCAUUGCUGCCCUCAAGCACGGCUUGUGUGUUGGGCCUCCGUCCUCCUCCCGGGGGACGGGCCCGAAAGGCAGCGGCGGCACCGCGUCCGGUCCUCGAGCGUAUGGGGCUUCGUCACCCGCUCUUGUAGGCCCGGCCGGCGCUUGCCGACACAUCAAUCUUUUUUCCAGGUUGACCUUGGAUCAGGUAGGGAUACCCGCUGAACUUAAGCAUAUCAAUAAGCGGAGGA
rnacentral:misc_RNA from 1 species